GUUCGAAUGGUUUUCCCAGGUUUGGUGAGGAAAGCGUGAAGCAAGGAAAACUCGUUUCAGGGUGUAGCCUAUGUGUUUGGAAGUUAAGCACGCGUGUGCCAAAUGGAUCAUUAAUGCACAUCAAAGAAGCCAUUAAAAUAUCUGUAUUUCAUUGGAAGAGAAAAUCAAAACACUCUUUUUUCAUUGGGUGCUCAGGAAUAAAUAGGCCCAGUCCAUCACAGGCAAAGACUUCCUCACAACUGAGAACACUUUCAUUGACUGCAGCCACAAGAAUGCAGCAUCCAUCUUCAAAGACCCCCACUAACCAGGCCAGCCCCACUUCUCACUACUACAAUCAAGCAGGAGGUACAGAAGUCUUAGGUACCACAGCAUCAGGUUCCGGAACGGUUAUUACCCUACAACCAUCAGAUUCAUAAUCCAGCGUGGAUAAGUUCAUUCACCAUUCCUCUGAACUGAUUCUACAAACAACAGCCUCACGUUCAAGGACUCUUUACAACUCAUGUUCUCAGUAUUAUUUUUAUUUGUAGUUUGUCUUCUUUUGCAUAUUGGUUUUUGUCAAUCUUUGUUUCUGUACAGUUUGUCAUAAAAUUCUAUUGUACUUAGUUUUUUUCCUGUGAAUGGAUGCAAGAAAAUGAAUCUUAGGUGGUAUAUGGUAUCUUGAUAAUAAAUUUACUUUGCACUUUGAACUUAAGAAAUAUGUUCAUUUUGUAAUUAUUUUAUUGGAUAUUUUAAUAUCUGUCAUUUAUAUCAAAUUACAAAUUAAACUGUCGCAAAUAUUGCUCGAUAAUACUGAAUAGUUAUUAACUAAAUGUUUGUUCUGUAGUGCUAGACCAUUCACCUUGGGCAUCUAAGAAUGAUAUAAAUCUAAAUGUAUACUACUGCUUUGCUUGAUUGAUCAAGGUGAAAUGUGCCAUGAAGUGUUAACAAUGUGAAUUUUCUUGAAGCUGGUAGAUCAGUCCAGUGCAGUAAUCCUUUGGGAAGACAGUGAUUUGUUAAUGUCUUGUGGAAUAAUUCAUAGCAAACCAAGGUUUACCAGAGUCAGUGCUGAGCAAACUUCUGAGAGAAGCAGUUGAGGCUUCUUCACUAAAUAUACUUAAGAUACAGUUAGAUAGAUUUUUACAUAGUAGGGGAAUUAAGGGUAAUGGGGAAAAGGCAGGGAGAUGGAGCUGAGUUUACGGACAGAUCAGCCAUGAUCUUAUUGAAUGGCAGGGCAGGCUCGAUGGGCGUGAUGGCCUACUCCUGCUCCUAUUUCUUAUGUUCUUAUGUUCUUAUAACUUGCAUUUGUAUUCGUUCCAUUUGUCAAUCAUCACAGCUUUAUGCUGGAAUGAAUACUAAAGUUCAAAGUUGAAAAUAAAUUUACUAGCAAAGAAUGUGUAUGUUAUAUUUACCUCCCUGGGAUUCACUUUCUUACAGGCAUUUGCAGUAGAACAAUGAAAUACAAUGGAAUCAAUAAAAUACAACAAUUCAUAUUGGGUCAUAUGUACAAAUACAUGAAUUGCAUAUGUCAUCACGCUACCCGCUACCACAUGAUAUGUGUGUGCCUUGCUUAAAUAAACACAA